GCCCCGACUGUAUGAUCCCCUGGAUUCCCAAUGGAGGGGAGACAGGGUCCUUGAGGCAGGAGCCUACCGUGUUCUCCCUUCUGCCAGCUUGAUGAUUAAAGCCAUCUUUCUGCUUCCUCCAGACUCUGUCUCUGCAAAUUUUAUUUGGCUCCAGUGGGCAAGAAAACCAAGAAUUUCGGUGGCAACAAUGCCAUAGAGUUUGGCUGGUCCCCACCUCUCCCCUAGGAUAACUCCUGCCAACAGGGAUCAUGAGGCAUCCUGUGUGAGCUCACUCAGCCCUUCCUCUGCCCUUUGUUGACCUGCCCCUCAUUGUGUGGCAAUGGACAGGGGCUCUCGGCUGUCUCUGCCUGAGUGGACGGGCCACAGUCCACCUGAGAAGGGCGGAGGAGCCAACUGUAAGGCAAAUGCUUGGACCGUGUGUCCAUAGAUGAUGAAACAUCCUCAAAUUAGGCCCAGCGCCAGCUGAACGUCUCUAGUAGGAAUAAAAGCACUCUCUUCCCAGCUGAAGUUUUCAAACUCUUUCCCAGAUCGCCUGCCCCGAUUCAGGUGUGCCACGAGACACUGGUUCUGCUUGGAAUUCCGAAAACUCCUUUCCCCAUCAUGAAGCUACUCUACCUUCUCUUCCUCUUACUUGUGUGUCUUACGCAGACAACAGCGGGUAA